CAUGUAUAAUCUCUUAAUAAAUGCUACAGGUGUAACUGUGUUACCAAGAAAUGAACUAUAUAUGUGAUGGCAACUCCCCUCAAUGGGCUUACUCUGCAUCCUCCUUCAGUGCUUUUGGUUGGCUGGAAUGUGUCCUUGCCUGGAUAGAGAAUAGAGAGGUGGGCAUGUACAUGAAGAAAGCUCUGCCUUUUCCAUGGCUGGAAUGUAAACUAUUGUACUAAGGUGACAUUAAAGCAAGAACUCACCUGGGCCAUGGAAGGAGUGGCACAGAUCAGCUAAAGGGAACAUCUUAGAGGGAUCUAACCCAUUU